UUCCUGGUGUUUAAUCAGAAUCUCCUUUCUUGCAACUCGAAUCCAUUGGUUCGGAUCCUGCCCUCCGGAGCAGAAGAAAACAAACUUGCUCCAUCUUCCAUCUUCAGAUAUUUGAAGAUGGCUAUCAUAUCUCCUCUCAGUCUCCUCUUUUCUAGGCUAAACAUACCCAGGU